UGUUGGCGAACCUUGGCAAGGCUUAUCCUGGUUCUCAGGCUUCCUGUCUGACUGUACCUUCUCCCACCUGACAACAAUCUUCUCCAGCCUAUUAAGGUAAACUUAGAGUAUGAAUGGGAUAUUUCACCCAGUCUCAAGGCAUUGAAUAUUUCUGACGGCUGACGGCAGUUCCAAGUUCCAGUUCCACAUCCAGCCAAACUCCAGCUCUGCUAAGAUCCAGAGCAGAUGUGCCUUGUACGUGAUGGACUAUGGACAGAGGAGAGCAGCAACGGAGCGGCCCUUCCUUUCCUGUGAGAGAAAGUUGUCCUGCAGUCUGUUUUUUAUCUCCAAGUAAACAAAAGGAAA